rnacentral:snoRNA from 1 species
UAUGCCCUUAGGGGCACUGCAGGUGUAGUUGUGUCUGCUGUGUCCCAUGUACAUCAGCAGAUGGCAGAGAGGAGAGAGGCUGUGAAUAUCUAUCUCAAUGAUUAGUCUUCUAUC